rnacentral:other from 1 species
CUUUCCCUGCCUGGUGCGCCAAGGCCAAUAGUUCCUUGAACCGAUGCGUAAGCAUACGGAACGGGUAUUGCAGUAUGGGCGCGAGCGUCUUAUCGAUUCAUAGUGCGGGCUCGUCUUGCACUCCCUGGAUCUUUUGAUGCACCCGAAGUAUUGCUACCGUACCACCUUGAACUUUAGGGUUCAGGAUGACGGCCUAGCGCCCAAGGCGGGGAUCCU